GUCGUUUUCUAUAUAACAUGAAAUGAAGCUCCAGUGCAUUCACCACCCAAGUUAUGCAAUACAGAGAGGCCUAUGAUAUAUGAUUGUAAAAGGGUUCCGACAGGAGCGGCCUUGGCUCACAUGUGGCGGCAUCCAAUGUACUUCAUGUGUUCUCAGGUCGCCCCUGCCGGGCUUCCUCUACAUGAUAGCUGCUACGUUGCAGUGGUGGGCCCAAAUCUGAACUGAAUAGCCACCUGGUUUUCAACUUCAUGCUAACAUUUUCCCUUGCAAGUUUCGAUUUUGUUGCCGUCGUUAUUUUUUUCCAGUUAAUGGUGGCAUCCCUCUCCUAUUUCGUUUUUUUUUUUAACUUUAUUAGUUUGUCUAGUUACAGCAGGUAAGGGUUACUCUCGUGUUAAAAAUUGGAAAGCGUCAAAACAGCACAAUAAAUAAUUAAAUCCAAUGUCCACAAGAUGGAAUGCUAAAAGAGUCAGAAAGAUAGACCCACGAAAGCAAAGACUCAAUCAAGCAUCUUGAACAGGUUUAGAGCAAGUCCAUUGCUAGCAGCGUCAGACCUACCUGCGGUCUCCAAGAAUGAUGGGAACAAACCUGAACAGUGCAUCAUGAAAAGAUCCAGGUGGUGCUAGAUCAUGUUUCCUCGUAGCAUACUCCACUCCCAUUGAAAAUCUACCACUUCAUCAAGGAGUGCCAAAAGCACCAUUUGUUCACCAGGAAACCAGUUUUACCCAUGGCCGUUACUUCGCAAAAAUUCCUGUAAUUUCAUUGCCCAGACAAAUGAGGUUGUUAUGGGGUGGCAAAUGAAUAUCGACAAUAAUGAAUUGAGUAAAUACGGAACCAGAAAUGUUAUCGUGGACACUUCUACACCAAAAUCCUCACAUCAGACAUAAUAGUAAGCAGCUCUUCUUCCCCUAUUUUCUUCCAAACUCCAUUUAUCAUCAGACAACCUUUGUCAUCUCCUGACAACAAAACAUUCUCGCAAUCUGAUUCAAAACUGUCAGCUGUCUCUCUCAUCUUCUUAGCGCUUGAUUUAUCUAAUAAAUAAAUAUCACAGCCAGCUUCUCUCUUACUACUAGUCCUCUCGACGCCAUAUGAAAAACGAAUGUCACCACUGCUGCCUUGUUUCAGUUCCCAGGACUGCUUCCAUUCUGAUGAAUGAACAGGCUUUUUACCAUCAUCGGCACAGUCAAGAACAGGAAGAUGGCCGGAAGAUCCAAGGUCACGGGGCAACAUGCCAAUUGGACAUGGAUUCCAUGAUUUUGCCACAGCCCAUCCGCCUGAACUACCUACUUCACCAUCUGUUCUCUUAACAGCUUUACUCUUUGUUCGGCAAAAUUUAACAAACUCUAGCUUCUUGGUGGCCUGAUGGAUAGAUUCAUCUUGCUGGAUAAGAAGGUUAUUCAAACUUGGGAGAGAAGACUUUUCUUGGGUAACAUCUGGGUCUGACAAAACUAGCGAACUUAGUUUUUUGAGUUUCCCCAUCACAGAGGUAUCACCCAUCAACUGUGCAAGAUGAAGCGCUGAAUCCAUAAGCUGCUUAUUGCCAUUUGAGGACACCAAAAGACAUUUGCGGAGGACCUCCAUCAGGAUUGUGUUUGAUAAAUUCAUUCCUAUUGAAGAGGCUUUUCUUUCAGCUGCAGUUUCUUUGCAGCGGAGAGGCUUUAGUCCCUUGAGUUGUCCAACAAGCCAUGCAAACAAAGAAGAAAGUCUUUCAAUUUGGCCA